rnacentral:rRNA from 1 species
GACGAACGCUGGCGGCGUGCUUAACACAUGCAAGUCGAACGGAAAGGCCCUGCUUUUGUGGGGUGCUCGAGUGGCGAACGGGUGAGUAACACGUGAGUAACCUGCCCUUGACUUUGGGAUAACUUCAGGAAACUGGGGCUAAUACCGGAUAGGAGCUCCUGCUGCAUGGUGGGGGUAGGAAAGUUUCGGCGGUUGGGGAUGGACUCGCGGCUUAUCAGCUUGUUGGUGGGGUAGUGGCUUACCAAGGCUUUGACGGGUAGCCGGCCUGAGAGGGUGACCGGCCACAUUGGGACUGAGAUACGGCCCAGACUCCUACGGGGGGCAGCAGUGGGGAAUAUUGCACAAUGGGCGGAAGCCUGAUGCAGCAACGCCGCGUGCGGGAUGACGGCCUUCGGGUUGUAAACCGCUUUCGCCUGUGACGAAGCGUGAGUGACGGUAAUGGGUAAAGAAGCACCGGCUAACUACGUG